GAUGAACGCUGGCGGCGUGCCUAAUACAUGCAAGUCGAGCGAACGGACGAGAAGCUUGCUUCUCUGAUGUUAGCGGCGGACGGGUGAGUAACACGUGGAUAACCUACCUAUAAGACUGGGAUAACUUCGGGAAACCGUAGCUAAUACCGGAUAAUAUUUUGAACCGCAUGGUUCAAAAGUGAAAGACGGUCUUGCUGUCACUUAUAGAUGGAUCCGCGCUGCAUUAGCUAGUUGGUAAGGUAACGGCUUACCAAGGCAACGAUGCAUAGCCGACCUGAGAGGAUGCGAGGGCACACUGUAAGUGAGACACGGCACAGAGGCAUACGGGAGGCAGCAGUAGGGAAUCUUGCGCAAUGGGCUAAAGCCUGAUGAAUCAACGCAGCGAGAGUGAUGAAUGUGUUCGGAUCGUAGAACUCUUUGAAUAGGGAAAAAAACAAGAGUAAGUAAAUGUGCACAUCUUGACGGUACCUAAACAGAAAGCCAAGACUAAUUACGUG
rnacentral:rRNA from 1 species